rnacentral:rRNA from 1 species
AUUGAACGCUGGCGGCAGGCCUAACACAUGCAAGUCGAACGGUAACAUUUCUAGCUUGCUAGAAGAUGACGAAUGGCGGACGGGUGAGUAAUACUUAGGAAUAUGCCUUUGUGGUGGGGGAUAACUAUUGGAAACGAUAGCUAAUACCGCAUAACGUCUUCGGACCAAAGGGGGCUUCGGCUCCCGCGCAAAGAGUAGCCUAAGCGAGAUUAGCUUGUUGGUGAGGUAAAGGCUCACCAAGGCGACGAUCUCUAGCUGUUCUGAGAGGAAGAUCAGCCACACUGGAACUGAGACACGGUCCAG